ensembl:lncRNA LINC02282 long intergenic non-protein coding RNA 2282
ACAGUACAGAAGGCUUUUUGCAAAACAGUGAUUUCUCAGCUUUUCCGAAGAGGUUCCUAAAUGUGGCUGUAACCCUGACGUGAGAGUCGCUCCCGCCCCUACCUACAUCCCACACAUUUCAGGAGUCCCCUACGUAUUCUACAAAACACAGAACGACCAUAUGAGCCACUUCAGUCCUUCUCAGCAUUAGGUCUAAUUUCCGGAGGAGCCCUAACUGUCCUGUCCUGCCUACAUUGCCUGCCCUCUAACAUCCUGGGAAUGGGAAGUAACACUGGGAUCGGUGGCGGCAGAACUGCGGACCCUAACAACUUCAGAUUGUUGAAAGGGGGAGGGGAGAAUGGAAGAGAGGAAUGGAAAGGCAAAAGAAAAAACAUUUGUGUUCAUUUACACAUUUCCUGUGCAGAACAAAAAAGUCCCACCAUCAGCAAAAGAAGUCUCUUCCUCUAAAAUAGCAGCCAAAGAGAGAAAAUUAGAAUAUGCAUAAAGUCUUUCAUUUUCAUUCGCACAGAGCACGAUUUCCAAUUUCCGGCAGAUUUGUAUUUAAACUGCUCGAUUAAUCCCAAUUUCUGAACAGCAUUUUACUUAGCAUUUUCCCAAAACUCACCUAAAGAGUUAUUAUUCCCCUCCCAUCACCCUGUUUUGGAGCCUCCCUUUUCCCUAUUCUCCAACUGAGAAUAAGAAUUUCAUUGAUAAGACUGCAACUUUAUUUUUCCUGUCCAUUGUUUUCCUCUUAAAACUAGACUGAUGCAUUGGACCACAGUUGAAUGCAAGCUGGUUGUUGUCUGUGAAGCCGCGACUGCAAACGAGAGCCUGUUGGAAAGGAUAUGUUUUUGAAAUGUGUACCUAAAAGAGAAUAAACAUGAUAGGGCCAAUAGACUCUUGCAGAUCCUCUCAUGUCAUCAAAACCUUUCCCAUUCUACCCAGGUCAUAUCUUUUCACCACUAGCAAUAGCUGAGAUGCUUGGACAUAAUCCACCCUCCAAACCUUUCCUUCCCUCACCCCUUUUAAGGAGCUUGAUAGACGAUCAUGCAAUUCUCUUCAAAGGAAUAUUACUCUUAAAUAUUCAGAGUGUCAGUCCAUUAAAUCCCCCUACAGCCCAUUACUAAAAUAUUUUGCUUUGCCACUUGUGCAACAGAUCUGGCUGUAUCUGCCUUGAAAUUUUCUUUGUUGGAAAAAAUGUUAUUGAGCUUCAUUUGAAUAUCUUUUCUGAAAUAUCAUCUCUUGACUUGGGCUUACGGCUCCUGCUUUUGAAACUGUAUAUGUUUAUUUUACUUAGUAGUAGAAUGUUAGAAGAAGAAAAUUACUGCAUCUUGACUUACGGAAAAAAAAAUAUAUAUCUUAAUUCUAUCAACCCCUAAAUUCCUCACUCUUGCACACCCCAAGACAGAAAGAACCCUUUAUUUGAUUCAUAAUGUAAUCUAAGCAAAAUGUAGUGGUUCUGGCUUUCCUUCAGUGUUUAUAGAUCGCAUGUAAAUCCCAAUUAUGAGUAAUCAAAAACUUAGAAAUACUACUAUUUGUUCAGCUUUCAGUUUCUGUAAAGAACAUACAUAUUUGAACCAUAUGCAGCAUGGUAUAUGUAAUAUAGGUGCAUAAGCAUUUAAAUAUAUGGUUUAAGUAUCUGGUUAGCUAAACAGUCAUUAAGAUACUGGGAUAUAGAAGCAUAUUAAUUUUGUUAAAUGGGUCCAUAAACUCUGCAUGUGUAAUAGUGUCUGCAUGACUUACUACUUUGAAAUAACUGCUUUUAUUGUUUCUUUUUCUGUCAUGACAAAAGUAUUACACUAUUUUAGUUAUGCAUUUUUCUGUUGAGUUGGA